rnacentral:rRNA from 1 species
AUAAGAGGUCCCGCCUGCCCAGUGACACCCAGUUUAACGGCCGCGGUAUUUUGACCGUGCAAAGGUAGCGUAAUCACUUGUCUUUUAAAUGAAGACCUGUAUGAAUGGCAUAACGAGGGCUUAACUGUCUCCUUUUUCAAGUCAAUGAAGUUGAUUUCCCCGUGCAGAAGCGGAGAUACUAACAUAAGACGAGAAGACCCUAUGGAGCUUGAGACGACAAGACAGCCCAUGUUAAACACCCCGCCCCCCACCGGAUUAAACUAAAUGACCCCUGCCUUAGUGUCUUCGGUUGGGGCGACCCUGGGGAACACAAAACCCCCACGUGGAAUGGGAGCAGCCACCCCACCUACUCCCCCAAAUUAGAGCCACACCUCAAAUUAACAGAAUUUUUGACCAGAAUGAUCCGGCAACGCCGAUCAACGGACCAAGUUACCCUAGGGAUAACAGCGCAAUCCCCUUUUAGAGCCCAUAUCGACAAGGGGGUUUACGACCUCGAUGUUGGAUCAGGACAUCCUAAUGGUGCAGCCGCUAUUAAGGGUUCGUUUGUUCAACGAUUAAAGUCC